UAUAAUGUACUGCAUCAUAUCAAUAAUCUUAUCUAUAAAAGGAGUCAAAUUUGCUACAUUGAACAUGCCAAGAGGAAAUUGAAUUAAAGAAGAAGUAGAAGAUGACAUUUUGUUGGUGACUUUGGUCUCAAAAGAGUGCUUAUCAUUGUUUAGUUAAUUUAUUUACAGAAUAUCAAGCAUUAUUAUCAUCAUUAUAUGGACACAUGGCAUUAUACUCUUGGGACCAAAGUCACCAACAGAGUGUCAAAUUUCUCAUCAUUCCAAGGUCAACAACAACGACGGAGCCAGAAUUUUUAUCAAGGAAAAUCAACGUCUUUUCUUAAUUAAUGAUUUCUAUUGUUUUGUUGUUUUAUAUUAGUGCCUUUUUAUUUUCAUUGGAGGAUGUAACCAGCUUAGAUGUAAUCCCCAGAUAUAUAUGUAAUGAUCAAUCCCCUACCUUUUGGGGUAUGUUUACUAAGCUUGUGUUUGGACAUGCAAUAUAAAGUAACACUUUA